rnacentral:rRNA from 1 species
UACAGAGGUCCCAAGCGUUGUUCGGAUUCACUGGGCGUAAAGGGUGCGUAGGCGGUCGGGUAAGUCUGAUGUGAAAUCUCACAGCUUAACUGUGAAACUGCAUUGGAUACUAUUCGGCUUGAGAGUUGGAGGGGGACUGGAAUUCUCGGUGUAGCAGUGAAAUGCGUAGAUAUCGAGAGGAACACCAGUGGCGAAGGCGGCUCACUGGACCAUAACUGACGCUGAUGCACGAAAGCUAGGGGAGCAAACAGG